rnacentral:rRNA from 1 species
UACGGAGGGUGCAAGCGUUGUCCGGAUUUAUUGGGUUUAAAGGGUGCGUAGGCGGCUCUUUAAGUCAGUGGUGAAAUCCUACAGCUUAACUGUAGAACAGCCAUUGAUACUGAAGAGCUUGAGUACAGACGAGGUAGGCGGAAUUUAUGGUGUAGCAGUGAAAUGCUUAGAUAUCAUAAGGAAUACCAAUAGCGAAGGCAGCUUACUGGCCUUGCACUGACGCUGAGGCACGAAAGCGUGGGGAGCAAACAGG